UACGGAGGGAGCUAGCGUUGUUCGGAAUUACUGGGCGUAAAGCGCACGUAGGCGGCUCAGCAAGUCAGGGGUGAAAUCCCGGGGCUCAACCCCCGGAACUGCCCUUGAAACUGCUAAGCUAGAAUCUUGGAGAGGCGAGUGGAAUUCCGAGUGUAGAGGUGAAAUUCGUAGAUAUUCGGAAGAACACCAGUGGCGAAGGCGACUCGCUGGACAAGUAUUGACGCUGAGGUGCGAAAGCGUGGGGAGCAAACAGG
rnacentral:rRNA from 1 species